rnacentral:rRNA from 1 species
CGUGCUUAACACAUGCAAGUCGAGCGGUAAGGCCUUUCGGGGUACACGAGCGGCGAACGGGUGAGUAACACGUGGGUGAUCUGCCCUGCACUCUGGGAUAAGCUUGGGAAACUGGGUCUAAUACCGGAUAUGACCACAGCAUGCAUGUGUUGUGGUGGAAAGAUUUAUCGGUGCAGGAUGGGCCCGCGGCCUAUCAGCUUGUUGGUGGGGUAAUGGCCUACCAAGGCGACGACGGGUAGCCGACCUGAGAGGGUGACCGGCCACACUGGGACUGAGACACGGCCCAGACUCCUACGGGAGGCAGCAGUGGGGAAUAUUGCACAAUGGGCGGAAGCCUGAUGCAGCGACGCCGCGUGAGGGAUGAAGGCCUUCGGGUUGUAAACCUCUUUCAGCAGGGACGAAGCGUGAGUGACGGUACCUGCAGAAGAAGCACCGGCUAACUACGUGCCAGCAGCCGCGGUAAUACGUAGGGUGCGAGCGUUGUCCGGAAUUACUGGGCGUAAAGAGUUCGUAGGCGGUUUGUCGCGUCGUUUGUGAAAACCCGGGGCUCAACUUCGGGCUUGCAGGCGAUACGGGCAGACUUGAGUGUUUCAGGGGAGACUGGAAUUCCUGGUGUAGCGGUGAAAUGCGCAGAUAUCAGGAGGAACACCGGUGGCGAAGGCGGGUCUCUGGGAAACAACUGACGCUGAGGAACGAAAGCGUGGGUAGCAAACAGGAUUAGAUACCCUGGUAGUCCACGCCGUAAACGGUGGGCGCUAGGUGUG